GGCCCCGUAGCUCAGUCGGAUAGAGCUGCAGUUUCCUAAACUGUGAGUCGGAGGUUCGAAUCCUCUCGGGGCCGCCA
rnacentral:tRNA from 1 species